rnacentral:rRNA from 1 species
UGGCUCAGGACGAACGGCUGGCGGCGUGCCUAAUACAUGCAAGUCGAACGGUCUUUCUAUGGAAGCUUGCUUCCACUGAGAAGAUAGUGGCGAACGGGUGAGUAACACGUGGGUAACCUGCCCAUAAGAGGGGGGAUAACAUCCGGAAACGGGUGCUAAUACCGCAUAGUUUUCUUGAUCGCAUGAUUGAGAAAGGAAAGACGGCCUUUGUGCUGUCGCUUAUGGAUGGACCCGCGGCGUAUUAGUUAGUUGGUGAGGUAACGGCUCACCAAGACGAUGAUACGUAGCCGACCUGAGAGGGUGAUCGGCCACAUUGGGACUGAGACACGGCCCAAACUCCUACGGGAGGCAGCAGUAGGGAAUCUUCCGCAAUGGACGAAAGUCUGACGGAGCAACGCCGCGUGAGUGAAGAAAGGUUUUCGGAUCGUAAAACUCUGUUGUCAGAGAAGAACAAGUUGGAGAGUAACUGCUCCAGCCUUGACGGUAUCUGACCAGAAAGCCACGGCUAACUACGUGCCAGCCGCCGC